rnacentral:tRNA from 1 species
ACCUACUUGACUUAUUUGUUAGAGUAUCACUUUCAUAUGGUGAGAGUCAUUGGUUAAAAUCCAAUAGUAGAUA